CUGUCCACAUGACGUGAGCAGCACACUCCCCUGCAAACCACCCACAGAUCACUCUGGAGCCGAAAAACCCAGUCACAGAGACAGCAAAGAAAAAUGAAAAGCCCCACAUUUGAAACUCAGGAACAGACGAUAUGCGGAGAUGUCUACGUAGUGCCAGCCAAGGAACUGCAUAUUCUGCAAGGUCACUGAAUGCAUGCUUGACUCUGAAGUAGUUUGGACAAUGAUUUGAAGCGGAUUAAUAAGAAAAAGCUGUUACUACGUAGAGGCAGCGUUAGAAAAAUUACACAGAACACAAAGGGAAAUCUGCCCCUGGAUUUUUAGGUAAGCUGAGGGGAAUCUCUGCCGCCUUUUCCCCUCCUUUACUUUUU
rnacentral:lncRNA from 1 species